CAGUAGCCGCGGUAAUACGAAGGGUGCAAGCGUUAAUCAGAAUUACUGGGCGUAAAGCGUGCGCAGGCGGUUGUGUAAGACAGGUGUGAAAUCCCCGGGCUUAACCUGGGAACUGCGCUUGUGACUGCACAGCUAGAGUAUGGCAGAGGGGGGUGGAAUUCCACGUGUAGCAGUGAAAUGCGUGGAGAUGUGGAGGAACACCGAUGGCGAAGGCAGCCCCCUGGGCCAAUACUGACGCUCAUGCACGAAAGCGUGGGGAGCAAACAGGAUUAGAUACCCGUGUAGUCCCUGUCUCUUAUAC
rnacentral:rRNA from 1 species